UUGAGAGUUUGAUCCUAGCUCAGGAUGAACGCUGGCGGCGUGGAUACUGGCAUGCAAGUCGUGCGGUCGCGUAGAGCGCGCAAGCGCUUUUACGCGAUAGCGGCAGACGAGUUAAUAACACGUAGAUACCUGCCUUUGAGACAGAGAUAAUCCGCCGAAAGGCGGACUAAUAUCUGAUGGUCCCCGAGAGCAAUCGAGGGGUAAAGCCGAAAGGCGCUCGAAGAGGGGUCUGCGGCCUAUCAGCUAGUUGGUAAGGUAACGGCUUACCAAGGCGAUGACGGGUAGGGGACGUGAGAGCGUGUUCCCCAACGAUGGCACUGAGACACGGGCCAUACUCCUACGGGAGGCAGCAGUCGAGAAUAUUGGUCAAUGGGGGAAACCCUGAACCAGCGACGCCGCGUGCGGGAUGAAGGCCUUCGGGUUGUAAACCGCUUUUGCAGGGGAUGAAGUCCGCCGUUGAGGCGGAUUGACAGUACUCUGCGAAUAAGGGGGGACUAACUCUGUGCCAGCAGUAGCGGUAAAACAGAGCCCCCGAGCGUUAUCCGGAUUUAUUGGGCGUAAAGGGUCCGUAGCCGGUUUGGCAAGUCUUAGGUUAAAUACCAAGGGCUCAACCUUUGGAGUGCCUGAGAAACUGUCAGACUAGAGGGUGUCAGGGGCUGAUGGAACGUACGGUGGAGGGGUGAAAUCCGUUGAUAUCGUACGGAACACCAAAAGCGAAGGCAGCUAGCUGGGAC
rnacentral:rRNA from 1 species